GGCUUAGAGUUUGAUCAUGGCUCAGGAUGAACGCUGGCGGCGUGCUUAACACAUGCAAGUCGAAUGAAGCAUACAAUGGAAUUCUUCGGAAGGAAGCUGUAUGACUGAGUGGCGGACGGGUGAGUAACGCGUGGGUAACCUGCCUUAUACAGGGGGAUAACAGUUAGAAAUGACUGCUAAUACCGCAUAAGCGCACAGAGCCGCAUGGUUCAGUGUGAAAAGCCGAGACGGUACAAGAUGGACCCGCGUCUGAUUAGCUAGUUGGUGGGGUAACGGCCUACCAAGGCAACGAUCAGUAGCCGACCUGAGAGGGUGACCGGCCACAUUGGGACUGAGACACGGCCCAAACUCCUACGGGAGGCAGCAGUGGGGAAUAUUGCACAAUGGGGGAAACCCUGAUGCAGCGACGCCGCGUGAGCGAAGAAGUAUUUCGGUAUGUAAAGCUCUAUCAGCAGGGAAGAAAAUGACGGUACCUGACUAAGAAGCCCCGGCUAACUACGUGCCAGCAGCCGCGGUAAUACGUAGGGGGCAAGCGUUAUCCGGAUUUACUGGGUGUAAAGGGAGCGUAGGUGGCAUGGUAAGCCAGAAGUGAAAACCCGGGGCUCAACCCCGCGGAUUGCUUUUGGAACUAUCANGCUGGAGUGCUGGAGGGGUAAGCGGAAUUCCUAGUGUAGCGGUGAAAUGCGUAGAUAUUAGAGGAACACCGGUGGCGAAAGCGGCUUACUGACAGUAACUGACACUGAGCUCGAAAGCGUGGGGAGCAAACAGGAUUAGAUACCCUGGUAGUCACGCCGUAAACGAUGAUACUAGUGUCGGGAGCAAAGCUCUCGUGCGUCGCAACGCAUAGUAUUCACUGGGAGUACGUUCG
rnacentral:rRNA from 1 species